rnacentral:tRNA from 1 species
AGGCCCGUAGCUCAAUGGUAGAGCGAGUGUCUUAUACACACUUUACGAGGGUUCGAUUCCUUCCGGGCCUA